rnacentral:rRNA from 1 species
CUCUUCGGGGAUGAUUAAACCGGCGCACGGGUGAGUAACACGUGAGUGACCUGCCUUUUAGACUGGAACAACUUACCGAAAGGUGAGCUAAUGCCGGAUGAGUUAUAUAAGUGCAUGUUUAUAUAGGAAAAGUUGGGGAGACCUGACGCUGAAAGAUGGACUCGCGUCCCAUUAGCUAGUUGGUAGGGUAAUGGCCUACCAAGGCGACGAUGGGUAGCCGGCCUGAGAGGGUGGCCGGCCACACUGGGACUGAGACACGGCCCAGACUCCUACGGGAGGCAGCAGUGGGGAAUUUUGCGCAAUGCUCGUAAGAGUGACGCAGCGACGCCGCGUGAAUGACGAAGGCCUUCGGGUCGUAAAGUUCUUUCGACAGGGAAGAAAAUGCCUAUAAGUAACUGUGUAUGUAUUGACGGUACCUGUAUAAGCAGCCCCGGCUAACUCCGUGCCAGCAGCCGCGGUAAUACGGAGGGGGCGAGCGUUGUUCGGAGUGACUGGGCGUAAAGAGCACGUAGGCGGUGUUGUAAGUCAUUAGUCAAAGACUAGAGCUCAACUUUAGUAAGGCUAGUGAUACUAUAAUACUAGAGUAUCAGAGAGGAUUGCAGAAUUCCUGGUGUAGCGGUGAAAUGCGUAGAUAUCAGGAGGAAUACCGUUAGCGAAGGCGGCAAUCUGGCUGGAAACUGACGCUGAGGUGCGAAAGCGUGGGUAGCAAACAGGAUUAGAUACCCUGGUAGUCCACGCU